CAUGAGCAUUUUAGAAGAACAAAUAGGAGAAAUUCUCAACAAACAAGGGUUUGUGAAUGGAUUUAUGAAUUAUUUUUCUAAAAUUAAGGAGGAUAUAAAAUACUUUCUGAAGAUUGGCAAUAAAAUAUUAAAAUUUAUUAUAGGCCAUCUUCUUGAGAUUGACAAUCCAAAAUCAUUAAAAUUUAUCAAUCCAAUAUUUGACACG
rnacentral:lncRNA from 1 species